rnacentral:tRNA from 1 species
UCUAGCUUAGUAUUUGAACGUACGUCGGGUUUUGAGCUUGAAAGGGGAUCAUUAAUUUGACCAGCUGGAG